rnacentral:ribozyme from 11 species
GAAGAAAGGAAGGAAAGAAAGUAGAAGGAAAGGGAAAGCGAGUCAAUGAAGUGCUUGCUCUGUCCCCUUCUAUCUCCGUCUCUGUCUUUCUGACUCGGUCAUCUUUCUCGUGGCGGGUGUUUGUUUUGCUAUCUGUCUGUCUGUCUGUCUGUCUGACUUACCGAAGAAGGGAGAAGAAAGAACUG